AUUGAACGCUGGCGGCAGGCUUAACACAUGCAAGUCGAGCGGGGUGAUGGUGCUUGCACUAUCACUUAGCGGCGGACGGGUGAGUAAUGCUUAGGAAUCUGCCUAUUAGUGGGGGACAACAUCUCGAAAGGGAUGCUAAUACCGCAUACGUCCUACGGGAGAAAGCAGGGGAUCACUUGUGACCUUGCGCUAAUAGAUGAGCCUAAGUCGGAUUAGCUAGUUGGUGGGGUAAAGGCCUACCAAGGCGACGAUCUGUAGCUGGUCUGAGAGGAUGAUCAGCCACACUGGGACUGGGACACGGCCCGGACUCCUACGGGAGGCAGCAGUGGGGAAUAUUGGACAAUGGGGAGAACCCUGAUCCAGCCAUGCCGCGUGUGUGAAGAAGGCCUUAUGGUUGUAAAGCACUUUAAGCGAGGAGGAGGCUCUUUUGGUUAAUACCCAAGAUGAGUGGACGUUACUCGCAGAAUAAGCACCGGCUAACUCUGUGCCAGCCGCCGCAGUAA
rnacentral:rRNA from 1 species